rnacentral:rRNA from 1 species
CUGUCCUACGGGGCGCAGCAGCCGCGGUAAUACGUAGGGGGCAAGCGUUAUCCGGAUUUACUGGGUGUAAAGGGAGCGUAGGCGGUAAUGCAAGUCAGAAGUGAAAGCCCGGGGCUCAACUCCGGGACUGCUUUUGAAACUGUGUUGCUAGAUUGCAGGAGAGGUAAGUGGAAUUCCUAGUGUAGCGGUGAAAUGCGUAGAUAUUAGGAGGAACACCAGUGGCGAAGGCGGCUUACUGGACUGUAAAUGACGCUGAGGCUCGAAAGCGUGGGGAGCAAACAGGAUUAGAUACCCGAGUAGUCCAA